rnacentral:tRNA from 1 species
GUCAGGAUGGCCGAGUGGUUUAAGGCGCCAGACUCAAGUUCUGGGUUCAAAUCCCACUUCUGACA